GUGAGUAUAGUGGCUGUGUGUGCUUUUUAGCAGUACAAAUGCUACUUUUAGAGCAUUCACCACUAUAUACACAACAGUUUUUUUUAUGUAUAGUUUUUUUAUGUCACUGCCAUUUCAAAUGCAAAGCAUGCAUCCGCCACAACGAGGCUAUCUCCAAGAGCAGUCAUUCCGAAACCUGAUCUGGGAGAAAGUGCAGACUAAAUAAAAUUUCAUUUUGACUUGGCCUCCCGCUGAGAAUGGGACUGCUUUGUUUCAGCCAACAGAAGCAGCAAGCCAGAAAGAUCUCUCUCCAGCCAAUGAAGAAGCUUUAUGCAGUACAUGUGACAGCUGUGGCAGAACAAUACAGUUUUGUGGCAUCCUAAAAUGUGAAACAGAGAAGAUUCAGAAGUAUACUCAGUAACAAGAUGGUCAUGAAAUGAAUUUCAGCCAUAAAUGUUAAAGUGCUUAGUGCACAGACUAUUUCAGAAGUAAUGCAAAGAUAAUAUGCUUUUUAAACUUUGUAAUGAUGGUCUCUGACUUGAAUUUGCACACAAAAAUACAGAAAUUUAGUUUUUUUAUGUGAAAUGAAUCUGUUAUGUUGCAUGAAAUAAAGAAUAUGACAACGCA